GGCACACCGAAAACCCAAUCGAGAACAUUCAAAUACUUCGAUCGAAAUACCUCCCUUUCCUGAGCAUAGCAAUGCAUUAUAAUGGAAGUUGAUAUGCUGAAAACUAUCACAUCCGCUCUUUUGAAAUUCAACGAUGGCGGCAAAUAUCCCAAAUCCGUCAUGCAGCUGAAGAAGCUCUCGAUACCUCUCGCGAGGCAAUAGAGUGAGAUUUCUAUCCUUCUGCUUUUCUUCUCAAUGGCCAGUGCCAAACCUGUUAAGAACGU
rnacentral:misc_RNA from 1 species